AUUGAACGCUGGCGGCAGGCCUAACACAUGCAAGUCGAACGGUAACAGGGAUCAGCUUGCUGCUUCGCUGACGAGUGGCGGACGGGUGAGUAAUGUCUGGGAAACUGCCUGAUGGAGGGGGAUAACUACUGGAAACGGUAGCUAAUACCGCAUAACGUCGCAAGACCAAAGAGGGGGACCUUCGGGCCUCUUGCCAUCGGAUGUGCCCAGAUGGGAUUAGCUAGUAGGUGGGGUAACGGCUCACCUAGGCGACGAUCCCUAGCUGGUCUGAGAGGAUGACCAGCCACACUGGAACUGAGACACGGUCCAGACUCCGACGGGAGGCAGCAGUGGGGAAUAUUGCACAAUGGGCGCAAGCCUGAUGCAGCCAUGCCGCGUGUAUGAAGAAGGCCUUCGGGUUGUAAAGUACUUUCAGCGGGGAGGAAGGGAGUAAAGUUAAUACCUUUGCUCAUUGACGUUACCCGCAGAAGAAGCACCGGCUAACUCCGUG
rnacentral:rRNA from 1 species